AUAGUGGUGAGCUAGGCGGAGCCGGUGGGGCCCACUACUAGCGAUCACGCGCGAAGCAAUCUUGUACUACUUUUGGUAUUUUGAGUAAGUAUUCAGGCCAGUUUGGUGUGUUUUCUUUGCUAUGUGUUUGAGAUAUGUGAAAAGGGCACUUAGGCGAGGGUGUACUUUAUCGCACUCGACCUAAACCCUAAUUUGAAUGUAUAAUUGUACUUGGCAUAUGUAUAUGAACCUUUUGGAACCAAAACCCUAGAGCUUGUGGCUCGGGGCGACUUUCGAAUAAAUUUUGUGAAGUUUGCAAAGUUUGUGAUUUUGAAUAAUUUUGUGAAGUUUGUGAGUUUGGGGCGAACUCUUGACCUGGUUGGACUAUUCGAGCCGGUUAGGGCUUGGUCGAAGGCAGUCCAACUUAGUCUGAGGUCACCAAGUUUGUAGGUUCAUGUUAUGAACCAAUUUUGUAAAUCCGGUUCACCGAGAAGGUGACCAAGUUUGUGACCCGAGCUUGUGACUCAAGCUCAAGUUUGUGAUUUCGUUCGCCCGGGCAAGUUUGUGAGGUGACUGGCCAGUGAGGGUGAAAAGGUGUCGGUGGGUGUACAAGUGAAGUUCUACGGACUAUUAUUUGCAGUCGACGGAGUGUCGGCAGGAGAUCACGCAUGGCACAUGAGUUGGCUUUGGAGCCACCUGUAUCCUUAUUAUGUGAUGUUACUUUUCUGCUUUUGCUUUACUCUUAUUGUGUAACUGUUACGUGAAAUUUAUGCUUUCGCCCCUGUUUACUUACUAAGCAUAUAGCUUACCCCAUUCCUUUUGUUUUCCUUAGCAGGGGCCGACGCGGGGACUUUUGGCUCGUAUACUAGUAUAGUAAGAUUGGCUUGUAAUAGUUGAACAGUUAGGAUGUUUGUUUUUGUUUUGGUGGUUUGACUCGAUACUUUUGGAGAAUGCAAUUAUAACUCUUUUUGGGAUUUGUAUAUAGUAUGUAAGGUACUCUUUUGGAUUUUCUAGUUUUUAUCGCUUUAAGGUUUGAGUCCUGGCGCGAGCUAGGCAGGCGGCCCGCC
rnacentral:lncRNA from 1 species